rnacentral:lncRNA from 1 species
AUAUCCAAUUUCAGGAGUAAUCUAAUUUUACUAAGCAGACUAGAUUCAAGUAGCUAUAGGCAUGGAGAGCCAAUGAUAGAAUCUUAAAAGUUUUGCAUGGCAAUAGGAUUGUAUUGAAGGGAAAGAGAUAUAAAGGACAUUAUCUUUUAGCAGAAAGCUGAGUGUGAGGUAGAGCUUCAGGAGUUAGUGGGAGCACAAAACAAGAUGGAGCUAGAAAUAUAGAUGGAUUGGGCAUGAGACGGAAGACUCAGAAGAAUGAUAGGCGACGUCGUAGUAUGAAGUUCUUAUUGCUGUAGGAGGCUAUCUCAAGUAGAUCUCAAGUCAGACAGAUCACAACAUAUAAUGGAGAUGAGAUCAAACGACCUGGCUUGACUUUCAUAUUUGUCCAUCCAUGAGCAGUCGGACAUAUGCCCUA